rnacentral:rRNA from 1 species
CCUACGGGCGGCAGCAGUCGGGAAUUUUGGGCAAUGGGCGAAAGCCUGACCCAGCAACGCCGCGUGAAGGAUGAAGUUUUUCGGAAUGUAAACUUCAUAAGAAUGGGACGAAUAACGGUGGGCUAACACCUCACCGGAUGACGGUACCAUUUGUAAGCCCCGGCUAACUCCGUGCCAGCAGCCGCGGUAAUACGGGGGGGGCAAGCGUUGUUCGGAUUUACUGGGCGUAAAGGGCGCGUAGGCGGCGCAACAAGUCACUUGUGAAAUCUCCGGGCUUAACUCGGAGCGGCCAAGUGAUACUGUCGUGCUAGAGUGCGGAAGGGGCUACUGGAAUUCUCGGUGUAGCGGUGAAAUGCGUAGAUAUCGAGAGGAACACCUGUGGCGAAGGCGGGUAGCUGGGCCGACACUGACGCUGAGGCGCGAAAGCUAGGGGAGCGAAC